rnacentral:rRNA from 1 species
UACGUAGGUGGCAAGCGUUAUCCGGAUUUACUGGGUGUAAAGGGCGUGUAGGCGGGAAAGCAAGUCAGAUGUGAAAACCAUGGGCUCAACCUGUGGCCUGCAUUUGAAACUGUUUUUCUUGAGUACUGGAGAGGCAGACGGAAUUCCUCGUGUAGCGGUGAAAUGCGUAGAUAUCACGCAGAACUCCGAUUGCGAAGGCAGCUUACUAAGCCAUAACUGACACUGAAGCACGAAAGCGUGGGGAUCAAACAGG